CAGCACCUCAAGUGGUCAGGAUGAUUAUUGGGCCUAAAGCAUCCGUAGCCGGCGCUGUAAGUUUUCGGUUAAAUCUGUACGCUCAACGUACAGGCUGCCGGGAAUACUGCAGCGCUAGGGAGUGGGAGAGGUAGACGGUACUCGGUAGGAAGGGGUAAAAUCCUUUGAUCUAUUGAUGACCACCUGUGGCGAAGGCGGUCUACCAGAACACGUCCGACGGUGAGGGAUGAAAGCUGGGGGAGCGAUCCGGAUUAGAGACCCGAGUAGUCC
rnacentral:rRNA from 1 species